rnacentral:rRNA from 1 species
UACGUAGGGUCCGAGCGUUGUCCGGAAUUACUGGGCGUAAAGGGCUCGUAGGCGGCCAACUAAGUCGGAUGUGAAAUCCCCAGGCUUAACCUGGGAACUGCAUCCGAUACUGGAUGGCUUGAAUCCGGGAGAGGGAUGCAGAAUUCCAGGUGUAGCGGUGAAAUGCGUAGAUAUCUGGAGGAAUACCGGUGGCGAAGGCGGCAUCCUGGACCGGCAUUGACGCUGAUGAGCGAAAGCUAGGGGAGCAAACGGG